GGCUGGUGCAAAGGUAAUGAGUUAUCACGAUUGUUCACAGUCAGUUACACAUCAAACGCCUUGUUCUACUCUUUCCCCGAUUCUCACUACUGCAUCUGACUAGUCAUUA
ensembl:misc_RNA Y_RNA Y RNA